rnacentral:rRNA from 1 species
UACGUAGGUGGCAAGCGUUGUCCGGAAUUAUUGGGCGUAAAGCGCGCGCAGGUGGUUUCUUAAGUCUGAUGUGAAAGCCCCCGGCUCAACCGGGGAGGGUCAUUGGAAACUGGGAGACUUGAGUGCAGAAGAGAAGAGUGGAAUUCCACGUGUAGCGGUGAAAUGCGUAGAGAUGUGGAGGAACACCAGUGGCGAAGGCGACUCUUUGGUCUGUAACUGACGCUGAGGCGCGAAAGCCAGGGGAGCGAACGGG